UGGGGAAUAUUGGACAAUGGGCGAAAGCCUGAUCCAGCCAUGCCGCGUGAGUGACGAAGGCCUUAGGGUUGUAAAACUCUUUCGUCGGGGACGAUAAUGACGGUACCCGAAGAAGAAGCUCCGGCUAACUUCGUGCCAGCAGCCGCGGUAAUACGAAGGGAGCUAGCGUUGUUCGGAAUCACUGGGCGUAAAGCGCACGUAGGCGGAUAGUUAAGUCAGGGGUGAAAUCCUGGGGCUCAACCCCAGAACUGCCUUUGAUACUGGCUGUCUCGAGGUCGAGAGAGGUUGGUGGAAUUCCUAGUGUAGAGGUGAAAUUCGUAGAUAUUCGCAGGAACACCAGUGGCGAAGGCGACUUGCUGGACUUAUGGUGACGCUGAGACGCGAAAGCGUGGGGAGCAAACAGGAUUAGAUACCCCCGUAGUCCCUGAGCGGGCUGGCAAGGCGCAU
rnacentral:rRNA from 1 species